rnacentral:rRNA from 1 species
AGUGAACGCUGGCGGUAGGCCUAACACAUGCAAGUCGAACGGCAGCACAGGAGAGCUUGCUCUCUGGGUGGCGAGUGGCGGACGGGUGAGGAAUACAUCGGAAUCUACCUUUUCGUGGGGGAUAACGUAGGGAAACUUACGCUAAUACCGCAUACGACCUACGGGUGAAAGUGGGGGACCGCAAGGCCUCACGCGAUUAGAUGAGCCGAUGUCUGAUUAGCUAGUUGGCGGGGUAAUGGCCCACCAAGGCGACGAUCGGUAGCUGGUCUGAGAGGAUGAUCAGCCACACUGGAACUGAGACACGGUCCAGACUCCUACGGGAGGCAGCAGUGGGGAAUAUUGGACAAUGGGCGCAAGCCUGAUUCAGCCAUACCGCGUGGGUGAAGAAGGCCUUCGGGUUGUAAAGCCCUUUUGUUGGGAAAGAAAUCCUGUCGAUUAAUACUCGGUGGGGAUGACGGUACCCAAAGAAUAAGCACCGGCUAACUUCGUGCCAGCCGCCGCGGUAAGAC